rnacentral:lncRNA from 1 species
UGGAGGCGCAUGGCUUGCAGGAAAGGGGCACCUGGGUUGAGACCUGAAGGCGGAACAGGCAGGCGGAGAUGGGGGAAGGACACUCCCUGUGAAGGGUAGGAGGUACGAAGAUUUUCACCGUGCUGAAGGGUUGAAGGAACAGCUGAUGAACAAUGCGUCUCCACCUCGAUCCAGCCAUCGUGAACAUGUCCCCUCAUUUGCUUUCUCCUGACGGGUAGAUAGCAACAGGUAGAUUUCCUUUUUCUGAACCGUUUGACAGUGUGUUGCAGACACGACGACGCUUUGUCCCUGAGUCCCUCAGCUGCAUCUCCCGAAUAAGGACGUUUUCCUCCUGAACCACAAGACCAGUAUCACACUGGAAAGUCAGCAGGAACGGCAUCUGCUGUCUGGUCUGCGUUCGGAUUCCCGCGGUUAUUCCCAGGCUGUCUUUUAUGGUUGGGUUUUGUUUGUUUUGAAAGCGAGGGACCAUCAAGUUUCCAGCGUUGCAUUUGGUUUCGUCUCUCUGGUCUCCAAGAAAGAUUCUGGAGGUGGAAUGCACAGCGCUCGGCUUAUCUGCCCCCAGCAUCCUGCCCGUCCUGUUCCUCGUGGGCCCUCGAGAGAUCGCCGUGGGUGAAUAGAUGAAGCCGGGCGUGGGCCAUCCGGACCCUGCUUGGCCCGGCUCCCAGGAGCCUGCAGGGCGGGCUGGGUCGCAGUCAGGCAUCCAGCUGGGCCCGGAGGAAGGAAUUACUCCAAGUGGUGUCCUUGGGACCUUUCCUGCGGCACUAAGAGCAUCGGGCAAACCCUGUCGCUGACGCUGGCCUUGCCACCUUGUUGGGCAGCCGGGCAUCAAUCGCUCCACAAAUGGUGACUGAUCACCUGCUCUGAGCUAGAGAUCAAGACAGACAGACAGAGGGACAGACUGCUGCCCUGGCCCUGCCCCCAGCCAAGGGUGAUGAUCCUGCUCCCUGGCCCCAGAGCAGAUUCUCCCGGGCCCUCCCCGAGGGCCCCUCCCCCAUACCUGCUGUAACCUGCUCUGGGCUCUGGCGUGGGAAAGGGCCAGCAGCGCCAAGGGCCCUCCGCAGCUUCCACACUGUGGAAACUCAUGGGGGGCCCCCGCCAAGAGAUGCACGUUCUCAUUCCGCCUAAUAUAGAAAGGCCAAACCAGCAAGCACGGUGACCCGUCAUAAGCAGCCGGCCCCCCCCCGCCAGCGCACAUCUGCAGAACCCGGGACCAGGAGCCCCGCCUGCUUCUCCUGGAGGACCAGUUCUUGGAAGCCCCUCGCGGCGGCACCUCCUGCUCAACCGUGUGUGUCGUCUGUGUUCCAGUCACAGUGGCCUCCGGAUGAGGGGUCAGCUUGUUUCGACAUGACACGGGCCCUCACUUCUCCCAGGAGUUCAGAAAACGCCUUUUUACAGCCCUGCUUCUCCGAGCUGCUCCUCGCGCGCUGCCCCGGGCCUUCCUCCGCCUGCACAGACCCUGCUGCGCCCGGCCUGGCUCGAGGGAAGAGUUCCUCAGAGCUAAAUAUUUCAACCCAAAUUGGAAAAAAAAAAAAAAUCCCCACCCCCCCAUUGCCCAAGAAACAGGGCUCAUUUCCCCUUCUGUGUUCUUUCUGAGUCACAGGCAGCGGGUUCCGAGAACGACGGGCUGGAGGGGACAGCGACAGUGUUCUCCAUCGGUCCUGGCCAAGCUGUGAGCCGCCGUUUCGUCGUCUCGCGGCCAGGAAGAGUGUGGCAGGAGUGAGCGUCCGAGCGCCAGGCAUCAGUGGAAGCCAGGAGCGAAUGAGGACGGAGUGAGUCAGCCCUGGCGGGGGCAGGGUCAAGAGCAGGCACCAACAACACGCCACAGCCACAGACAAGACCGACUGGUUCCGUGGUGGCUGGUUCUGUCCCACGCGCUUCCGUCGCAGUUCCUGAAAUGUCAGCCUUAUCCCUCAACUCCACAUGACAGCCAUUCCUGUCCUUGCUUUGACUUGACCCGUGCAUGCCUUCCAACCCACAGCCUCCCCAUGUUCAUUGUUCAGUUUAAUUUUCUAAAGAGAGUGAGAACACUUUUCCCUUUUCCUUGGUUUCUUGACUGAUUUUUCUCGCUACUUGGGGAUGGGUAAAAUAUCACCUUCCUGAGAAAGGGCGGGAAGGAAUUCUUGCCCAGAGACACGAUGCGCAGUGUCUUGCUUUGGGGCCUUAAGUUGGCUGUCACAGCUCCCAGCCACACGUCCUCAAGGGCGGGGAGCAAAUAGGAAGAAAAGGGCGGAAGCCACAGGCUUUUCUCCCCACACUGCUCUCUCUUUUAUCAG